UGGGAGAGGAAGAGAGGGGGUUGGUGGGGGCUAAUGCGAGUUCAGGUUUGCAAGGUCCUCUCUUGCAGAAGACAGCGUGAAGGGAAGAGGGUGAAAGAAGAGGGGGCACAGUCCUGGGGUUAUGUCCGAGGGCUGCUACCAUCACCACCACAGGCCAAAGAGAUAGCACCUAGUCCAAAGAAGCACAGAGAAGGUCUUGUGCAAGAGUGACGUUGUUUUAAGGAGCGAUACCACCCUGAAGGUACCAGGCCCUGUUUACCAGCUCAGCAACCUCUCCCAAUGCCCUGAGGCUGUUGCCCCCUCAUUAAACUCUCUGUUUGUUGGCCUUAAAAAGGAAACAUUAGCCAGCUUGCAUUAGCCACUUAUUACUUACCUGCACUUUUUAGAAAGCAUAUAAUCGGCUAUCAUUUGUAACCACUACCCCUCACUCACACAAAUGACCGUCACCUGCAGCUAAGGGCUCAGUGUAUACCUGCAACAUCCAUUAGGCUUUUCUGACAUCCCAAUUUAACUAGAAGCAAUUCACCCUUUUCCUGGGAAAGGAUUCAUUUUUCAUAAUGCAUCGUGCUCAAGUAAGGAUGAACCUGGCCAAAAGUGGGGAGUCAGCCCCUGAGCAAUUUGUCUCAUCAUCUCGAAGCUUCGGAAGGCCUCUGACAUCUCCCCCAAGCCCUGGCUUGUCCCCAAGACAUGUUAAGGUGACUCCGGAGACUGGGCAGCCGCAGCCCUCACCGCCUCAGUUUAUACGUAAGCUUAAGAACGCUGCCGUAGGCACGGGCUGUGACAUUCGCCUAAAGGUGGCAGUGUCCGGGUAUCCCUUGCCAAGUCUAAACUGGUACAAAAAUCAGGAACCUCUUAAUCCUGAUGGAGACGAAUACGGGACACUGUGUAUCAGGGACACUAAGAUGGAGGACGCUGGCGUAUACACCUGUGUGGCUCAUAAUACUUCGGGAGAAUCCACCACAAGCGCAGUACUCGCCAUCAUCGACUUAGAAGGUAAUAUUGGG